GGGGUAGGAUUAGGAUGAAAACAGCGCUCAUCCGGCGAGAUUUCACGAGAUUCUGGCCGUAGCAGUAUCCCUUCUAACCGUCAAACAGGCCGUGUCUGAAAUGACACCGUACCCCCUUCUACACUGCAUUAUUUGAGGGGGAAGAUAUUUUGGUAGUGUCGGAAAACAUUGUGGACAUUACUGAGUGCACUUGCGCUGAACGAAUUCCCACACCUGGGCAGAAGAUGACGCUAGCAGCGCUUCUGGCAUACAUAGUAAGGAAUGUUUAAUGAAGGACCAUUACAAAGACCGGUCAGAAGAAGCUUCAGUCUGAGAUAAUGAAGCCCCCCGCGCGGUUUCCACCGUCAGCACGACCACCUCCGAGAGCUUCACCAGCACGUGCGAUGGGUACAAAACCCAAGACACCCACUUUCAUCCUCGCCGGCCCCGCUGUAUCUCCACUCUAAUGGUCUGGACUCAUCCGAAGGCCAAAGCAGGCUGCUGGGUUGUUAAUAUCUCUCCAUUACACCGUGUGGGAACCAUGGCACCCUCUCCGUGGGCCUCUGGGUGCUCCUGGGUACUGCGAGGAGGCACUGGUGUGGCAGCCAGGGGAACAGGGGUGAUGCUAG